AGAACACAGUUCCUCUUCCCAGAAUGUCAUCUUCAGGCUGCUUUUCAGAACCUGUAUUUCAGUGGAACAUGAGACAGAAAGAAUCUCUGGGAAAGGAUGGAAUUGACUAGAAUUUAAAAAGAGAAGCCCUACUACCCUGUUGUUAUUAAUUACCAUAUGAUGGAUAAAGGAACUUGGCUUUGGAAAGUAUCACUCUAUGAUACCCUGCAGAAAGAAUAUUUAAGUCAUGGCCUUGCUUUGCGCCGUGGGAGGAUGAUGACCCUUGUGGACCACAUCUCCUGAGCUCCCUUGCUGGUGGACUUAUGAUUAGAUUUGGCCAAUAUCUGGAGAUCAGAGGAGCCAAGAUGAUCCCAAAUGCAGAGAUUCAGAAUUUCAGGAGGUUCAGAAGAGAUUUUUUUUUUUUUUUUUUUACCAUCUCCUCUUUAAGCUGGAUAAUACUACUUCCUACAAAAUCAUAAUCAUAAAACCUUACAUGCUUGUGGUUCUUUGAACUUUAUGAAAUGUUUCUUUUUUUCUCUUUUAUCUCAUGGGAAUAAUAGUACCUACACAAAGGGUUAUCUUGAGAGCCAGAUGAAAGAGUGCGUGUGAGGCGAUUAGCACGGUGUUGGCCCACAGCAUUUGCCAAAUAAUUGUAAACCAUUUUAAUGAACUCAUUUACUGUAUUUCAUCCUCACAAUAGCCUCGUAAAGUAGAUAAAAUAAGCAGUGUUUUUUUUGUAACGGGUGCCUUUGAAUCUUAGGUGCAAAGGUUGAGUAACUUUCCUAAAUUCAAGAGAUUCUUAGGGACCUGAGUCAAAACUGGAAUCCAGACCUGCUGAUUUCCAACCUCCCGUGUGUUCCCUGGAGUCUUCUAGAGCACAUUCUGGCUCUGGGGUGAGAGAUGAGUCUCAGUCUGCCACGUCUUCUCCCUUUGGGCAUCAUAACCGUCACUAACGUGACCAGCUGUGCUCCUCUUGGCUCCUUUAGUGGCCAUCCCAUCGCUCUUCUAUUAAGACUGCAUUCUGUGCUCAUUAAGAGCAUAAGCUUUGCUUCCUGACAGACCUGGGUUUGAAUCCGGGUUCAGCCUCGUAGCAGCUGCGUAUGAAAUGAGCAUAGAUUCAUUGGGAGGAUUAAAGAACGGAAGAUACUGCCUACGUAGGACCUGGCACAUGGAAAGCUCUCUCCAAAUUUUCGUUAUUCUUAUGAUGGCUAGAUGAACUCCAGGGCUUCACUGCUGUACCUGCUGUCAGGGCCACGUCUCCACACCAGCUGUCUCCUUGGGCUCCAGCCAACCUGGCUCAUGGCCUCGAUACUCGACUGCAACUACUGCUCUCCUUGUCAAUAA